rnacentral:rRNA from 1 species
UACCAGCACCCCGAGUGGUCGGGACGAUUAUUGGGCCUAAAGCAUCCGUAGCCGGUUUUACAAGUCCUCCGUUAAAUCCAGCUGCUUAACAGAUGGGCUGCGGAGGAUACUAUAAGACUAGGAGGCAGGAGAGGCGAGCGGUACUCAGUGGGUAGGGGUAAAAUCCGUUGAUCCAUUGAAGACCACCAGUGGCGAAGGCGGCUUGCCAGAAUGCGCUCGACGGUGAGGGAUGAAAGCUGGGGGAGCAAACCGG